AAGACCUUGCACUUUUGGAGCGGCCGAUGUCUGAUUAGCUAGUUGGUGGGGUAAUGGCCUACCAAAGCUUCGAUCAGUAGCUGGUCUGAGAGGACGGCCAGCCACACUGGGACUGAGACACGGCCCAGACUCCUACGGGAGGCAGCAGUGGGGAAUUUUGGACAAUGGGCGCAAGCCUGAUCCAGCCAUGCCGCGUGAGUGAAGAAGGCCUUCGGGUUGUAAAGCUCUUUCAGCCGGGAAGAAAAGGUCGCGACUAAUAAUCGCAAUCCAUGACGGUACCGAAAGAAGAAGCACCGGCUAACUACGUGCCAGCAGCCGCGGUAAUACGUAGGGUGCGAGCGUUAAUCGGAAUUACUGGGCGUAAAGGGUGCGCAGGCGGUUUUGUAAGUCAGAUGUGAAAUCCCCGGGCUUAACCUGGGAACU
rnacentral:rRNA from 1 species